rnacentral:lncRNA from 1 species
CUUGGUAACCUCCUUUUCAAAUGAACAUGGAAGAACAUGCAGAUGAAGUCAAAUCUCUGUUGACUGGUUUGUGACCAACUUGACAGACUUCCCGGGAAUCUUUUCAUCUGACAGUUGCAAGAACCACAUGAUACUGAAAUCCAUAUGGUUCCACCAUAUCUUUUUGGAGAUGACAAGUACUGGGUGUAAUGAUCAAAAUGUCCGCACACCACGCAUUAACACAAUGUUCAGCUGACAAUCCACUUGCUGAAGACUGGAGACCUUUUGGAAGUCUCUAUCAUAGCUCCCUGGGGGACUACCUUAGUAAAAUUCCUCCGGUAUGUAACUGGCCUUUUAUUCUUGGUCAUUUACCCUGUCGUUUCAAAAAUAAUUUAUGUAUGCAAGGACUUUCUCUUCUUAUGUGUAACAGAUUUGGUUCUUUAAGAGUCUCACAAAGGAAUAUCUUCAGAUCCUUUUAUAUCAAUCUGCUCCACCUAUUUUUUGCUCUUUCAAAGAGCUUUGAUCUGUGAGACAUGACUCUUAGUACAAAAUUAAAAUCUACACCUACUUGUUGUAUUAGAUUUGUAUCUUCUGUACUUUCUUCUAGAUCCAACCGCUUUAUCUAGCAUGAAAAUUGUCAUCUGCAGUUUCCAGUUUCCCUGAGAUCUUUCCAAAAGUUGACAUCAUUUUUGGUGCCAAAGCUACAACUUGCAGAGCAUAGAUUUUUAUGGACAUGUGGAUGAGUUCAGUCCGGGCGGGUUUGUUCAGGCAUACUCUGCUGGCUCAGCCUUGAAGUUGCUCUUAAACAAAUUCCACUCUGCAGAGAAAGACUGCAAAAUGGAAAUCUUGUGUAUAAUGGUCAAUAACACACACCUAUCAUUUAACUAGUUUGUUAUUGUUUUAUCUUUUUUAAUUUUUUUCCUAACAUUUUGAUCAUCACUGGUUACCACUAGCUGGCCUUCUAGUUCUGUGCUGGGGAAGAGAUGAGUUGUUUUUUUUUUUUUUUUUCUCACCCCC